CCUACGGGGUGCAGCAGUGGGGAAUAUUGCGCAAUGGGCGAAAGCCUGACGCAGCGACGCCGCGUGAAGGAAGAAGGCUUUCGGGUUGUAAACUUCUUUUCUCAGGGACGAAGCAAGUGACGGUACCUGAGGAAUAAGCCACGGCUAACUACGUGCCAGCAGCCGCGGUAAUACGGAGGAUGCGAGCGUUAUCCGGAUUCAUUGGGUUUAAAGGGUGCGCAGGCGGGCCUUUAAGCCGGCGGUGAAAUCGCGGGGCUCAACCCCGCCGAGCCGGCGGAACUGGGGGCCUUGAGUGCGGCGGGGGCAUGCGGAAUGCGCGGUGUAGCGGUGAAAUGCAGAGAUAUCGCGCAGAACCCCGAUUGCGAAGGCAGCGUGCCGUGCCGCCACUGACGCUGAGGCACGAAAGCGCGGGGAUCGAACAGGAUUAGAUACCCCUGUAGUC
rnacentral:rRNA from 1 species